AAAGCAGCUUUUAUUGAUUUAUUUGCUGGCUGCGUGCUGGCUCCUGCGAAUCUGAGUCCCUGCUCCCGGGCACGGGCUCGACGGGCUCGGCUCAGCUCACGGCAGGGAACACGAGGGGAAGCACAGCAGGGCAAACCAAGCCCCCGCCGGUGUUAAUCCAGCACCCUCCUUCCGCAGGGAAAACUCUCUCAACUGGUUGUGGCAACAGAAUAUCUUCCAUAUCACUUCUGGAAACAGCACACUCAAAUCAAAAUGACUCCAGGAAAGUCGGCAGCUUUCACAGAAGCCAAGCUAAGCCAUGGAAGAUUGUAAUCAGGAAAAGCUACACUUCCUGAUCCACACAAAAGCUACAGGGUGGAAGGUAGAAUGCACACUGAUGUUACCCUGGGAUCAAAAAGACAGGGUGGCCAUUGAAUGAGAGGGAGCCCUCCUUAACUCAUUUCCUAAAGAAAGGAAUAAAAAUGAGGCACCUGCUGUCAAGCAUUCUAGUAGUUCAGGUAUUUUUUAUGCUUGCAAUUUUUCUGUUAGUGGAGAAAUUUGUACUGCUCUAAUUAUUACCUUUAACUUUUUCUGAUUAAACAAACCAACAUGUUUUCUUGCUUUGUCACAUAGAACCAAAUGUAGUGUUGUUUCACAGGGAACACACACAAAUCAAAUACUUCCUGCAUACAUAACCAAAAGAAGAGUGAGGUUCUUGGAAAAUGAGAUAAUUGGAAACCUAAGGGAGAAUUUUUCUCUAGAACUUUGCGGAAAGCCAAGCAAAUAUGAAA
rnacentral:lncRNA from 1 species